UACAUGGCUCAGAUUGAACGCUGGCGGCAGGCCUAACACAUGCAAGUCGAGCGGUAGAGAGAAGCUUGCUUCUCUUGAGAGCGGCGGACGGGUGAGUAAUGCCUAGGAAUCUGCCUGGUAGUGGGGGAUAACGCUCGGAAACGGACGCUAAUACCGCAUACGUCCUACGGGAGAAAGCAGGGGACCUUCGGGCCUUGCGCUAUCAGAUGAGCCUAGGUCGGAUUAGCUAGUUGGUGAGGUAAUGGCUCACCAAGGCGACGAUCCGUAACUGGUCUGAGAGGAUGAUCAGUCACACUGGAACUGAGACACGGUCCAGACUCCUACGGGAGGCAGCAGUGGGGAAUAUUGGACAAUGGGCGAAAGCCUGAUCCAGCCAUGCCGCGUGUGUGAAGAAGGUCUUCGGAUUGUAAAGCACUUUAAGUUGGGAGGAAGGGCAUUAACCUAAUACGUUGGUGUCUUGACGUUACCGACAGAAUAAGCACCGGCUAACUCUGUGCCAGCAGCCGCGGUAAUACAGAGGGUGCAAGCGUUAAUCGGAAUUACUGGGCGUAAAGCGCGCGUAGGUGGUUCGUUAAGUUGGAUGUGAAAUCCCCGGGCUCAACCUGGGAACUGCAUUCAAAACUGACGAGCUAGAGUAUAGUAGAGGGUGGUGGAAUUUCCUGUGUAGCGGUGAAAUGCGUAGAUAUAGGAAGGAACACCAGUGGCGAAGGCGACCACCUGGACUGAUACUGACACUGAGGUGCGAAAGCGUGGGGAGCAAACAGGAUUAGAUACCCUGGUAGUCCACGCCGUAAACGAUGUCAACUAGCCGUUGGCUUGAGCCUUGCCACUAGCUCUUACCGUGGCCCGCAGCUAACGCAUGAUUGCGAGAUGUUGACCGCCUGGGGAGUACGGCCGC
rnacentral:rRNA from 1 species